CUCACCAAGUUCACUCAAUUUCUCUCAAAAGACAAAUAUGGACAGAAUAGAUUCACACAAUUCACAACUUCAUGCCUUCAAACACAGCUUGCCGUUAUGUCACUAUCUCCACCAAAAUAUGGAACCAAUGCACAAAUCAAAAGGUCUUGCACUUUGGUUGUAAUGGGGCUAGGGUACGUACAGGUGGGAUAAAACAAGAAAAAGGGGAUCAAAGAGGCUCAAUAUAUGAUUGAAAACAUGCAACACACCAGACCUUCCAUCAAUAAAACUCUAGAGUAACUCCUCAACAUAUCCACAAUCCUCUAAACGUAUGCUAUUUUAUUAUAGUAACUCUUAUUUUUCUUUUUUUUUUUUUUUUUUUUUUUUUUUUUUUUUUGUUUUUUUUUUUUUUUUUUUUUUUUUUUUUUAACAGCAUAUAUAUCCCAUAGAAUCAAUGAACUAUCUCUCAACACACUAAAAUUAUAGGAGUACUCAUCUUCUCAUCUCGUCAUAAUCUAGUGCAUUCACAUGUUUUCAAGGGACAAAAGCAGGCUAAAACAGGCUAAGGCUCAAUAUAUGUGAGUUUUCAUCAAAC
rnacentral:lncRNA from 1 species